AUUGAACGCUGGCGGCAUGCCUUACACAUGCAAGUCGAACGGUAACGGGCCUUCGGGUGCCGACGAGUGGCGAACGGGUGAGUAAUGCAUCGGAACGUACCUUUCAGUGGGGGAUAACGUAGCGAAAGUUACGCUAAUACCGCAUAUUCUGUGAGCAGGAAAGCAGGGGAUCGCAAGACCUUGCGCUGAUUGAGCGGCCGAUGUCAGAUUAGCUAGUUGGUGAGGUAAAGGCUCACCAAGGCGACGAUCUGUAGCGGGUCUGAGAGGAUGAUCCGCCACACUGGAGCUGAGACACGGUCCAGACUCCUACGGGAGGCAGCAGUGGGGAAUUUUGGGACAAUGGGGGCAACCCUGAUCCAGCCAUGCCGCGUGAGUGAAGAAGGCCUUCGGGUU
rnacentral:rRNA from 1 species